rnacentral:lncRNA from 1 species
AUUAGUGUCCUUCUGAGAAGAGACACCAGAGAGCUCUCUCUCUCUCUCUCUUUCUCUGUCUCUCUCUCUGCCAUGUGAGGACACAGGGAGAAGGUAGUCAUCCUCACGCCAGGAAGAGAGUCCUCACCAUGAACCUAAUCAUUUGGCAUCUUCAUCUUGGACUUCUCAGCCUCCAGAACUACUUCAGACAACAUGUGUCAACAACAAGAAUCAAGAGUCUUCAGAUGACAGUACUGAAAGGACUGCUAAGAAUCAUCACACAGAGUGUGUCUCUAACAAACUAAAAAUAGGAAGAAAAGGAAUUUCAGAUAUGUAUGGAGAAUGCCCUGCUUUCUACUUGAGGGGAGCAGACAGAGUGAUCCUUUAGCAGGCAGUCUUAUUUCCAGAGGAUGGCAGGGCCAUAAAAAGAAGGAGCCUGGAUCCCCAGAUCACCACAUGGAAGAAAAGACACUCAACUACUAGGAAAACCGUUCUUGGACUGAGAACCUUCCUGCCAUGGCAGCCUCCCUCCAAGGAGCAUGAUGACAAUAUGGCCACAAAACAGCUUCCCAUCAGCCUCCAUUUGUUACAAGAAACAGCCAGACACAAAAACCCUCCAGGCCCAACAAUGAGCAACGCUCCUCUUCUGAAAUGCCCACAAACUAUUAACUUGUUUCCUCCAGCCA